AGUCGAGCGGUAGCACAGGGGAGCUUGCUCCCUGGGUGACGAGCGGCGGACGGGUGAGUAAUGUCUGGGAAACUGCCUGAUGGAGGGGGAUAACUACUGGAAACGGUAGCUAAUACCGCAUAACGUCGCAAGACCAAAGAGGGGGACCUUCGGGCCUCUUGCCAUCAGAUGUGCCCAGAUGGGAUUAGCUAGUAGGUGGGGUAAUGGCUCACCUAGGCGACGAUCCCUAGCUGGUCUGAGAGGAUGACCAGCCACACUGGAACUGAGACACGGUCCAGACUCCUACGGGAGGCAGCAGUGGGGAAUAUUGCACAAUGGGCGCAAGCCUGAUGCAGCCAUGCCGCGUGUGUGAAGAAGGCCUUCGGGUUGUAAAGCACUUUCAGCGAGGAGGAAGGUGGUGAGCUUAAUACGUUCAUCAAUUGACGUUACUCGCAGAAGAAGCACCGGCUAACUCCGUGCCAGCAGCCGCGGUAAUACGGAGGGUGCAAGCGUUAAUCGGAAUUACUGGGCGUAAAGCGCACGCAGGCGGUUUGUUAAGUCAGAUGUGAAAUCCCCGGGCUCAACCUGGGAACUGCAUUUGAAACUGGCAAGCUAGAGUCUCGUAGAGGGGGGUAGAAUUCCAGGUGUAGCGGUGAAAUGCGUAGAGAUCUGGAGGAAUACCGGUGGCGAAGCGGCCCCCUGGACGAAGACUGACGCUCAAGUGCGAAAGCGUGGGGAGCAACAGGAUUAAUACCCUGGUAGUCCACGCUGUAAACGAUGUCGAUUUUGGAGGUUGUGCCCUU
rnacentral:rRNA from 1 species